rnacentral:rRNA from 1 species
GAUGAACGCUGGCGGCGUGCCUAAUACAUGCAAGUCGAGCGAACAGACAAGGAGCUUGCUCCUUUGACGUUAGCGGCGGACGGGUGAGUAACACGUGGGUAACCUACCUAUAAGACUGGGAUAACUUCGGGAAACCGGAGCUAAUACCGGAUAAUAUUUCGAACCGCAUGGUUCGAUAGUGAAAGAUGGUUUUGCUAUCACUUAUAGAUGGACCCGCGCCGUAUUAGCUAGUUGGUAAGGUAACGGCUUACCAAGGCGACGAUACGUAGCCGACCUGAGAGGGUGAUCGGCCACACUGGAACUGAGACACGGUCCAGACUCCUACGGGAGGCAGCAGUAGGGAAUCUUCCGCAAUGGGCGAAAGCCUGACGGAGCAACGCCGCGUGAGUGAUGAAGGUCUUCGGAUCGUAAAACUCUGUUAUUAGGGAAGAACAUACGUGUAAGUAACUAUGCACGUCUUGACGGUACCUAAUCAGAAAGCCACGGCUAACUACGUGCCAGCAGCCGCGGUAAUACGUAGGUGGCAAGCGUUAUCCGGAAUUAUUGGGCGUAAAGCGCGCGUAGGCGGUUUUUUAAGUCUGAUGUGAAAGCCCACGGCUCAACCGUGGAGGGUCAUUGGAAACUGGAAAACUUGAGUGCAGAAGAGGAAAGUGGAAUUCCAUGUGUAGCGGUGAAAUGCGCAGAGAUAUGGAGGAACCACCAGUGGCGAAGGCGACUUUCUGGUCUGUAACUGACGCUGAUGUGCGAAAGCGUGGGGAUCAAACAGGAUUAGAUACCCUGGUAGUCCACGCCGUAAACGAUGAGUGCUAAGUGUUAGGGGGUUUCCGCCCCUUAGUGCUGCAGCUAACGCAUUAAGCACUCCGCCUGGGGAGUACGACCGCAAGGUUGAAACUCAAAGGAAUUGACGGGGACCCGCACAAGCGGUGGAGCAUGUGGUUUAAUUCGAAGCAACGCGAAGAACCUUACCAAAUCUUGACAUCCUUUGACAACUCUAGAGAUAGAGCCUUCCCCUUCGGGGGACAAAGUGACAGGUGGUGCAUGGUUGUCGUCAGCUCGUGUCGUGAGAUGUUGGGUUAAGUCCCGCAACGAGCGCAACCCUUAAGCUUAGUUGCCAUCAUUAAGUUGGGCACUCUAAGUUGACUGCCGGUGACAAACCGGAGGAAGGGUGGGGGAUGACGUCAAAUCAUCAUGCCCCUUAUGAUUUUGGGCUACACACGUGCUACAAUGGACAAUACAAAGGGCAGCGAAACCGCGAGGUCAAGCAAAUCCCAUAAAAGUUGUUCUCAGUUCGGAUUGUAGUCUGCAACUCGACUACAUGAAGCUGGAAUCGCUAGUAAUCGUAGAUCAGCAUGCUACGGUGAAUACGUUCCCGGGUCUUGUACACACCGCCCGUCACACCACGAGAGUUUGUAACACCCGAAGCCGGUGGAGUAACCAUUUGGAGCUAGCCGU